GCGGCAAUAGCUCAUUGGUAGAGUCCACGCUUCGCGAGCGGGAUACCCGGGUUCGAUUCCCGGCUGCUUCC
rnacentral:tRNA from 1 species